GGGCGACUAGCUCAGUGGUUAGAGCGCUCCCCUCACACGGGAGAGGUCCAAGGUUCAAGUCCUUGGUCGCCCACCA
rnacentral:tRNA from 2 species